rnacentral:misc_RNA from 1 species
CAAACCUUCAAGCUCAGCUUGGUAUUGGGUGUCACCUGGCUGGUGCAUCUUAAAAUCAGUGGCAGCAUCAUCUAGCUCCAAGUGCAGUAAUUCUCUCACUUUAGAAGUUUAGGUGUAUUCUUGCCAUCAACCCCUAGUUUUUCAAA